AGAAAUUUGCGGACGAUCUCGACCGUCGAUUUGCAAACGAAGCCCGAUCGCCACGAAACCAGUGCCAUCGCGAAGCUUGAGCUGAGGAGAGUCGGGAUACAUCCUCCGAUCAUCCAUCCUCCGCCGGAGCUCGCCGGAAAAGUCCAAAAACACGGCUGCCACCACUUCGCCAGAACUCUCUCCUCCGGCCACCAAAACCGACGCCGCUGCCGCCAAAAGGAAGCUCUCUCCAAGGGGAGCUGAUCGCCACCGGGAUCGGCCGGAAAGGCCGCCGGAAACG
rnacentral:lncRNA from 1 species